GAUGAACGCUGGCGGUGUGCCUAAGGCAUGCAAGUCGAACGAGAUUUACUCUUCGGAGUAAUGAAAGUGGCAGACGGGUGAGUAACGCGUAGGAAUCUACCCAAAAGUGGGGAAUAGCCCUCCGAAAGGAGGGAUAAUACCGCAUAAUAUCUCAAGAUCAAACCUCUCACUAUUUGGUGAGAGGGCUUUUGGAGGAGCCUGCGUCCUAUCAGGUAGUUGGUGGGGUAAUAGCCUACCAAGCCUAUGACGGGUAGCCGAUGUGAGAGCAUGAUCGGCCACAAGGUUACUGAGACACGGAGCCUACACCUACGGGUGGCAGCAACUAGGAAUCUUGCGCAAUGGACGAAAGUCUGACGCAGCGACACCGCGUGUGGGAAGACGCUUUUCGGAGUGUAAACCACUGUGGCAGGGGAACAAAUUUUGAGGGUACCCUGCUAGAAAGCACCUGCUAACUACGU
rnacentral:rRNA from 1 species